UUCUUGGAUGAGUUGCGAACGGGUGAGUAACGCGUAGGUAACCUGCCUUGUAGCGGGGGAUAACUAUUGGAAACGAUAGCUAAUACCGCAUAACAAUGAAUGACUCAUGUCAUUUAUUUGAAAGGGGCAAUUGCUCCACUACAAGAUGGACCUGCGUUGUAUUAGCUAGUAGGUGAGGUAACGGCUCACCUAGGCGACGAUACAUAGCCGACCUGAGAGGGUGAUCGGCCACACUGGGACUGAGACACGGCCCAGACUCCUACGGGAGGCAGCAGUAGGGAAUCUUCGGCAAUGGGGGCAACCCUGACCGAGCAACGCCGCGUGAGUGAAGAAGGUUUUCGGAUCGUAAAGCUCUGUUGUAAGUCAAGAACGAGUGUGAGAGUGGAAAGUUCACACUGUGACGGUAGCUUACCAGAAAGGGACGGCUAACUACGUGCCAGCAGCCGCGGUAAUACGUAGGUCCCGAGCGUUGUCCGGAUUUAUUGGGCGUAAAGCGAGCGCAGGCGGUUUGAUAAGUCUGAAGUUAAAGGCUGUGGCUCAACCAUAGUUCGCUUUGGAAACUGUCAAACUUGAGUGCAGAAGGGGAGAGUGGAAUUCCAUGUGUAGCGGUGAAAUGCGUAGAUAUAUGGAGGAACACCGGUGGCGAAAGCGGCUCUCUGGUCUGUAACUGACGCUGAGGCUCGAAAGCGUGGGGAGCGAACAGGAUUAGAUANCCUGGUAGUCCACGCCGUAAACGAUGGGUGCUAGGUGCUGGAUCCUUUCCGGGAUUCAGUGCCGCAGCUAAC
rnacentral:rRNA from 1 species